rnacentral:rRNA from 1 species
UACGGAGGGGGCAAGCGUUAUUCGGAAUUAUUGGGCGUAAAGGGCGUGUAGGCGGUUCUGUAAGUCUCAUUGUGAAAGCCCUCGGCUUAACCGAGGAACUGCAUGGGAAACUGCAGAACUUGAGUCCGGGAGAGGAGAGUGGAAUUCCCAGUGUAGCGGUGAAAUGCGUAGAUAUUGGGAGGAACACCGGUGGCGAAGGCGGCUCUCUGGACCGGUACUGACGCUGAGACGCGAAAGCUAGGGGAGCAAACGGG